rnacentral:rRNA from 1 species
GUAGGGAAUCUUCGGCAAUGGACGAAAGUCUGACCGAGCAACGCCGCGUGAGUGAAGAAGGUUUUCGGAUCGUAAAACUCUGUUGGUAGAGAAGAACGUUGGUGAGAGUGGAAAGCUCAUCAAGUGACGGUAACUACCCAGAAAGGGACGGCUAACUACGUGCCAGCAGCCGCGGUAAUACGUAGGUCCCGAGCGUUGUCCGGAUUUAUUGGGCGUAAAGCGAGCGCAGGUGGUUUAUUAAGUCUGGUGUAAAAGGCAGUGGCUCAACCAUUGUAUGCAUUGGAAACUGGUAGACUUGAGUGCAGGAGAGGAGAGUGGAAUUCCAUGUGUAGCGGUGAAAUGCGUAGAUAUAUGGAGGAACACCGUGGCGAAAAGCGGCUCUCUGGCCUGUAACUGACACUGAGGCUCGAAAGCGUGGGGAGCAAACAGGAUUAGAUACCCUGGUAGUCCACGC